rnacentral:rRNA from 1 species
CCUACGGGUGGCAGCAGUGGGGAAUAUUGCGCAAUGGGCGAAAGCCUGACGCAGCGACGCCGCGUGAGGGAUGAAGGUCUUCGGAUCGUAAACCUCUGUCAGCAGGGAAGAACGGUCACUGUGCUAAUCAGCAGUGAAUUGACGGUACCUGCAAAGGAAGCACCGGCUAACUCCGUGCCAGCAGCCGCGGUAAUACGGAGGGUGCGAGCGUUAAUCGGAAUUACUGGGCGUAAAGCGCUCGUAGGCGGGAUGUCCAGUCAAGGGUGAAAUCCCCGCGCUCAACGUGGGAACUGCCUUUGAAACUGGCAAACUGGAGUGUGUGAGAGGAUAGUGGAAUGCCAGGUGUAGGAGUGAAAGCCGUAGAUAUCUGGAGGAACAUCAGUGGCGAAGGCGACUAUCUGGCACAUAACUGACGCUGAGGAGCGAAAGCGUGGGUAGCAAACAGGAUUGGAUACCCUUGUAGUC